AUAUCUUAGGUGCAGCAGAUCUCCUCUCGGCAUUCUCUAGUGUGGUCCACAGUGGCUUCCUCAUCUCACUUACACUUGAGGUUUAUAGCUGGAGGGGAAGUCAAUAGUAAAUAUUUAUCACCCCGACCAAGAGCAGAACUUUUCACAAUUCAAACAGAAGGGUGGCUGGAAGCACAGGGGUUAUUGUCUGGGGAUUUCUUUCUCCCAGAUGGCUUCCUAAGAGACCUGAGAGUUUGAGUUGAAUAAGCCYUGCCAGUUUCUGACUAUAGAUGAGGAGCAGUGAAAGCACUUCAAAGAAGAGGGUUCCUUAAAAUGAAC
rnacentral:lncRNA from 1 species